GAGACCGGGAGCCAUCCUGAGAAUCCUGACUGCACGAGCUUCUAGAUGAAUGGGUGGAAUUACUCAGAAUGUACACGGUGGAGGCAUUAGAGAAAAAAUAUCCACCUCCUUCUAAGGAGUUUUCCAUUUUUGCAGGUUGCUGUUUUUAAUCACAGUGAUAACCACCUGGUAGCACACAUCCCUCGAAAUAUGUUUCCUAAAGCAGACAUGUGAGGAUGCAACUCUCAAACCUACGAAUGCAACUCUCAAAACCCACUGUUACGAAACAGUGGGCUCAUUACCUGUGCAGAGGUUCAGUGAACCAAGUUGAAGUUCAAACCCAAGGCCUUUCGGUGGUAUUUUGGAUCAAAAAUUGAUGUUCCCAGAUUCCUUUAAAGUAAAGGGCGUUCACCAGAACCAUCCUGGUUGCAGAAUUCACAGCAUCGUCAGGCCCUAAAAUGUAUAUUAAGAAAAUCUGUCUCAUUGUCUCAUACCAAGUUCACACGGAAAGGAUAAAGCCUGUUUAAUUUCUUCU